UUAUUGCCAUGAAGCUGAUUUGAUCCAAGAGGAGACUGAGGGCAAACUCUGACCUCCAGAGUGAACACCGCCACAACUGUCACAUUAAAGUCGAAGAUCUCAAUUUUGGCCUGUUGUACUGCCACUUCUCUUCUCUCUUACGGACUGUCUGCAUAUCUGUUGCGACGACCUGCUGAUGACAAUGCAGCGGACUCGAGCGAUGUUCCAGCUCUGCUACUACCUUAGCAGAGUUAGCCGGCGAUCCUGUGAGGAUGGCCCGCUGCUGGAGGAGCAGGAGACAGAGGGACAGCGGCAGCUUCACGGCCUUCUGCUACGGCAACUCCACACCCAAGUCGAUGUCGAAAGAUGUGUGGCCAAGAAGCAGAGCUUUGCACCAGCGGCGCUCUACAAGCCGUUCGGCGAACAGGCGUCCGGCGUGCAUAGCCUGUCUCAGUUCCAGGCGUUGCAAGAGGACGAGCAGGAGCUGGCCGGCCUGCGAGAGCUGGGCCUGACCGAUCCAGAGAUCCAGCUGUGGCAGAAAAGGGAUGCCCCGGAAAUACCUGAACAGGGUCAUGGUGUUUGCGCGGCUCCUGGCGUCAAGCGGCAACGCCUCCAGGUCAUCCAGGACAAGAUCGCAGCCCGGGCAAAGCUUCUCGCGCGGCCCCAGCGCUUUGCCGCCAGCCAGCCGCUGUCCCGGCGCGAGAUGGAGAUUGAGCAGGCGCUCUUCCAGGGCAGCGACCGCCAAGGAUUCCUUACAGCACUCUACCAUCGAGAUGAAAAUAAGCAAGAUGGCCCUCAAGAAGCGACAGAUCCAAUGGACUCCUUGUACAAAAAUCUUCUCAGCAAGCCACCCCAGGGUGUGGAAACUGCCGGAACGUCACGCCUUUUUACAUCUGCCCUGCCACAGGAAAGCGACGGCAAAUCAGAGGAAGGCUCAGCAGACGCGCCGGAGAGCCACACCGUCCCCCCGCUGGAGAUCAGCCGGCAAAUCGGCAGCCUGCGUGGGGCAGACGGUGCCGGCUCGGGUCGGCCGCUAACGGUCACGGGGCAGGUGGUGCCCGUGACGAACCAGGAAAUCCGGGAGAACCGGGCAAGCUCGGAGGAGAUCCAGAGCAUCCCGAGAUUCCGAAACUACCAGGCCGGAAAAGCCUCCCAAGUGGUGUGCGUGAAGAACCUGAGUCCGCAAGUGUCAGUGGCCCAGCUGGUGGCGCUGUUCUCCAGGUUCGAAAGACCCGGCGGCGGACCCCCGUUGCUCUACCGCCUCCUGACGGGUCGCAUGAAGGGUCAGGCCUUUGUCACACUGCCAGACAUGGAAACGGCCCAGAAGGCUUUGCAGCUGCUCCAUGGUUACCGGUUGCUAGGGAAACCUUUGGUGUUGGAGUUUGGCCGCGAGCGAAAGGAAGCCGAUGAGCGGGAAGCAAAGACGUCAAAAGUGAAGUGUGAUAUCAUAUCCUGUGACAUCAUCACACGUAUCCUGUGACAUCGUAUCCUGCCGUCAGGGGUUUCACAUGGACUCCCCCGGAGCUCCCGCUACCGCUGUGAACCAACGUGCGCCCUUUAUUGUUCACGCCGAGGCCUCCCAUUUGCAGGGUUGUGGGAUUUGGUACCACCGGCGGCGCAGCACCUCCACCCACCGGGUAGGGGUAGCCUCCGCCCCCAUACGGCCUCCCCCGGUGGUGUCCUCUUCUGCCGUCCUGCCCCUCACAGAAAGACAUGGCCAGCAUGCUGCCCCCCAGCAUCGAGAGCACAGCUGAGACCAUGCCCAAGUAAAGACAGUCACCUAGCUCGAACUUGAGAGUGGCGGGUACGCUGGGAUUGUAGAAGUUCUGUAUCACCCUGUUGGUGCUCCAGGAGACGGGCACCAGAGUCAUGAAGCCGGCCACCAGGAAGAAGCACCCGCCGACGCCCGCCACCCGUUUCUUGAGUUCCCCUGAGCCCUCCAGGCAGACGGUGCACUGCAUGCCCAGGACGGCGACGGCCAGGCCCAGGGUGGACAGUACCAGAGAGACCACCAUGAGGGCCCGGGACGUCUGGAGGUCAGAGGACAGAGCCAGGAUGGAAUUGUACGUCUCGCACUGGAAGGCCCCGGUGCUCUGAUGGACGCACUCCAUCCACAGGCCCUUCGUGCUGCCUGAGGCUGUCACAAUGUUGGAGCCGAUAUGUGCCGUAUUCUCCCAGAAAGGGAGCACCGUGGACACCAGACUGCCCAGUAGACCCAGCAGGCCAAGGAAGAAGCCCAUCAGCUCCAGAGCCGCAGAGGCCAUGGCGCCCAAACACUCCUCGGGAAAGACGGAGCAAAUUUGCCUUUGAAGAAAUCUUUGAUAUCUUUGGACUCGAAGUGAAAUCCUCUGCAUGACGGACGUCUUUGUGUUUCAAGGUACACUAUGGGAGUUGGGAACUCUUACUUUCAUCAAAUCAAAAGUUAAGAUGAAUCUCAGUUUGUAAAGCCACAGUUCAGCUUUGUAGAAUAUAUAUAUAUCCUAACUAUGUUUUACAUCAAAUUAGAUCUAACUUUUGGCUCUAUUGUAGAACUAAAACCUGAUGCAAUCAAAGAGGCAAAAAAGUAGACUUACGUUGCACGCUAUGUGAAGAAAUCACUUGUUCCUGUUGUUGCUCCCUUUUUUUCCCCCCAGUGGAAAAAUCAGACUUUUUCGGUCCACUUCAACAUAUUGGCGGCGGCGGCGGCGGCGGCCUUACAACCCAACACUCAAAGUCACUUUUCAGGAUUUUGAAUGCAUUUUCCGAAGCAGGUGGAUUUGAAAGGCAGGACAAUGGAUGUGUGUGUUCGUGCGUAGCAUCCUCAUCCUCGUCAGAUCGCGGGUGUCGCCAUCUGAUCCGGGCCUCCUGUCAAACACACGCGACAGUUAAUCAUUCUCUCAUUGGUGAAACAAAACAACCUUUGCCAUCCUUCCCCUGUUGGCCCUACAGUAUUCCCUCCCGCACGCCGUGCCGUAAUGGGAUUAGAAAAAAGCGGAAUAAUCCCGCAGUGCUGGUGAGUGCCACAUCCACUGGGCGCACACACUGAGGCCUUUAUUGGGAAAUGGAACAGGGAUGUCUUUAUCCGGAAAUGUUCCGAUGAAGGGGGGAAAAAAAUGUGGAAAAUUCACCCCAUCAUUUUGCCUCGUUUUAUUAUUUCUCACAAAAAUUCACAUCAUUGAGUACAGGUCAAAUAAUAGAUGUCAGUAACCCUGGAAAGAUGCAACAAAAAAAAGGCAGACAAUUAAAUCGGUUCGUCAUGAUUUAGUGCUUCAGUUCAAGUCAUUAUGCUGCUCCUUCUAGUGUGGCCGCUUUAGCCAAUAGGGGGCGGUAUCAUACAGUCAGGAAAGGAAAGUUCCUCAGCAAAAAUGCAAAUCUGAGGAAGCUCUAAUUUCGUUUGCAUAUGUCACCACGAGCGAAGCAGUUAAUUAAAAUACCUUCAGUGGAUAUGUGUGAUUAUCUUGUUAGGUACAUUUCUAUGCAUGUUCUUUGUUUGGUCGGUUUUGUAUGUUUUUGAGUGAUGUUUUGUUGAAGAAAAAAAAGAGGAAGAGGGGGCAUUCCAUACUAAGUGAGGACCAGCCUGUUUUUCAUGUUUUUGCUGCCCUCUAGCCGACAUGUGGUGCAACUGCAUAUAAAAGACGACUAACAGUGAAGGCAU